rnacentral:rRNA from 1 species
GUGCCAGCCGCCGCGGUAAUACGGAGGAUCCGAGCGUUAUCCGGAUUUAUUGGGUUUAAAGGGUACGUAGGCGGGGCGUAUAAGUCAGCGGUGAAAUUUUGCAGCUUAACUGCAAGCUUGCCGUUGAAACUAUCGUUCUUGAGUGUAGAUGAGGUAGGCGGAAUGUGUUGUGUAGCGGUGAAAUGCAUAGAUAUAACACAGAACCCCGAUUGCGAAGGCAGCUUACCGGGUUAUCACUGACGCUGAGGUACGACAGCGUGGGGAUCAAACAGGAUUAGAUACCCUGGUAGUCCACGCCGUAAACGAUGAAUACUCGCUGUUUGCGAUAUAGGGCAAGCGGCCAAGCGAAAGCAUUAAGUAUUCCACCUGGGGAGUACGUUCGCAAGAAUGAAACUCAAAUAAAUUGACGG